UACGUAGGGGGCAAGCGUUGUCCGGAUUUAUUGGGCGUAAAGAGCGUGUAGGCGGUCUGGUAGGUCCGUUGUGAAAACUCGAGGCUCAACCUCGAGAUGUCGGCGGAAACCAUCUGGCUAGAGUCCGGAAGAGGAAAGUGGAAUUCCUGGUGUAGCGGUGAAAUGCGCAGAUAUCAGGAAGAACACCCGUGGCGAAGGCGGCUUUCUGGGACGGUACUGACGCUGAGACGCGAAAGCGUGGGGAGCGAACAGG
rnacentral:rRNA from 1 species